GACGAACGCUGGCGGCGUGCUUAACACAUGCAAGUCGAACGGAAAGGCCCUGCUUUUGUGGGGUGCUCGAGUGGCGAACGGGUGAGUAACACGUGAGUAACCUGCCCUUGACUUUGGGAUAACUUCAGGAAACUGGGGCUAAUACCGGAUAGGAGCUCCUGCUGCAUGGUGGGGGUUGGAAAGUUUGGGCGGUUGGGGAUGGACUCGCGGCUUAUCCGCUUGUUGGUGGGGUAGUGGCUUACCAAGGCUUUGACGGGUAGCCGGCCUGAGAGGGUGAACGGCCACAUUGGGACUGAGAGACGGACCAGAAUCCUACGGGAGGCAGCAGUGGGGAAUAUUGCACAAUGGGCGGAAGCCUGAUGCAGAAACGCCGCGUGCGGGAUGACGGCCUUCGGGUUGUAAACCGAUUUCGCCUGUGACGAAGAGUGAGUGACGGUAAUGGGUAAAGAAGCACCGGCUAACUACGUG
rnacentral:rRNA from 1 species